GACGAACGCUAGCGUCGUGCCUAAUACAUGCAAGUAGAACGCCGUUGCUAACGGUUGAGUAACGCGUCUUUAACUGCCUCAUAGCGUGGUAUAACUAUUGGCAACGAUAGCUAAUACCGCAUCCUUUGAUAUGAACCUGCGUUUUAUUAUCUAGUUGGUGAGGUAAAGGCUCACCAAGUCGACGAUACAUAGCCGACCUGAGAGGGGGAUCGGCCACACUGUGACUGAGACACGGCCCAGACUCCUACGGGAGGCAGCAGUAGGGAAUCUUCGGAAAUGGACGGAAGUCUGACCGAGCAACGCAGCGUGAGGGAAGAAGGUUUUCGGAGCGUAAAGAUCUGUUGUUAGAGAAGAGGUAACUAACCAGAAAGGGACGGCUAACUACGUGCCAGAAGCCGCGGUAAUUC
rnacentral:rRNA from 1 species